rnacentral:lncRNA from 1 species
CUCAUAUGAAGAUAACUCAUGACGCUAGUGCCCAAAAUCUACAGGCAGCUGAAGCAGUGCCUCCAUUUGGUUGAUGAUCAUUCUCUAAUGUAUGGUAAGUAAAACUUCAAUUGCAAUCUAUCAACUAAGUUUACUCUAAAGUAUCUCAUAGAUAUCUAGUGCCUUCUUCUUGUCAUGACAAAGGAAGUCAUCAAGCAUUCUUAAGUCAAUGAGGGGCACAAGGAAUCAACUUCGCGUCAUCAUGACAGUGAUGGCCAUGAAAGAUCUUAUCUCAACAGGGGGCUCUAAUGCGGCACCAGUAAUGAGGACACCUGCAGCAGCAGCAACUUUGAAAGUUGACAGGAAUUAAGCUGGAACUAAUAUUGCUCAGGAAUGAGCUGCGACAUUACUCGUCCUACAAGCACUAUCUCUCUAGCAACUCAAUAACAUUAGCAUCUUCUUGGGUUUUUUCGACAGGCAUCUGUUCCCCACUCAUCUGCUAAAGGACUGCCAGCUCAUUGUCUGUCUGACUUCUUUAUAUAAGACAUGUUGAAAGUUUCCCGCAUCAAACUGAUGAAACCCUCGUUGUUCAAUGGCUAGGUCACCCAUUUUAGUUUGACUCUGCUAAGACUACCAACGACCUAGAAGCUAGCAUUGAGGAACUCCAGGGCAUCCCGCAGUGGAUUGGGUGUCAUGAUCACUUGAGUCCCUGAAGUCUGGAACAAACUAUAUUGGACGCGACCAUGAUUGAGCCAAUUACAGAAUAUGGUGAAAGAUUGUCAGAACAAAACUUGUCCAUCAUCAGAAACUGCUAAUAACUCGUCUUCUUCUCCUCCUCCUCUCUCUCUCUCUCUCUCUCUCUCUCUCUCUCUCUCUCUCUCUCUCUCUCGUGCCAUGUGCCAUGGUCCACAAAGAUUCCCGAAUUAUACUCUGAAACCAAAAUUACUAUGUCUGCGUCAUGCAUUCAUCUUAAAUAUGGCCAAAAACCAACCAUUUUGGCAAAGAUUUCUCGUAGCAUCCAUUUCUACGGAACAAUUCAUAAGUUCCAACUUAUUACAUCGAGUAAUCCAGCACAAUCGAUGUUCUAUCAAAUCAAGAUAAAUUUUGGUCAUAACUUGAUUCAAUGAGUCAAGAGUGAAGUCAUCAAUGCUAUAGGCCAAGCUAUCGAUUAAGG